CAAAGAAGGACAUGCAGGUACAUGUCUUCCCCUUCUUAGAAAACCACUUUCGCUGUCAUGGGGAUGUGGCUGCAUGGACACUUUUCACCUAGCAACACCCUGGGCUCAUCUCCAGCAUUGAAAACCCACAGUCAACGGCGUUCAAUCAUACGGCUGGCUCACCCUGAUGGCCCUUGUCUAACCUGGCCACGUUGAUGGCCCCUUCUAUAAACACGGCAGUCAGAGUACGUUUCUGUUCUCCUUACUGUCCUGACAGAUGGAAACUCAUCAAGGACAAGAAGCAAGGCUCCUCGGUCAUGUGACUGAACAGCAUCAACAGCCAAGGCACAGGAGCGGGGACCACCUGCGCACACUCAGCCAGCAGCGGGUUUCAGGCAUGGUCCACCGUGUCUGGAGAAAGUAAAAAGGCUGUUGUAGAGGGGACUUGAACUCUACCAACAGACUGCACUUCCUUUGUUCCAAUUCCCAGAAGUCCUAGAAGAGAACGCUUUCUGCAAACUUUUUGGAGCUGGGAAGUUUUUGAGAAAUCCGCUGGCUCACUCCCAGAGUGCGAAAUGACAUUUCGCUGUUUGAAUCCCAGCCAGUUCAAAGGCUGCUGCUGCAGCAGCCACUCUCCAUGUGGGGGUUCAUUAAAGGAGCCGGCUUCUGCCUUUGUGUCCCUCCCCUUGCCCAGAGGCUUUGAACUCACUUGCCUGUUUUAGAUUAGCUCCCGCACUUUUGCAAGAGACAACUGUCUCUCUCAGAACACGGUGUGCAGGGUUAGGCAGAUUAUCCAGAAUUCAGGCUGGAAGCUGUGGUCCUCUGUCGAGUGUCCCUGGGAUCUUAUUUCCCUUCCUAUUUCACUUGCUUUAAAACAAACCCUUUGAAGUCGACAGGUAGGUUCCUGAAAGCUCAGCUUGACUAAUACUAUUAGGGGACUCUUGCUAACAAUGUCAUCCCUACUUCAGAUUAAAUUAUUGCAGUAA